rnacentral:lncRNA from 1 species
GAGAAAAAGCCCCCCCCCUGGGGAGCGCGGCUGCAACCAGCCUCUUCUGCAAUUUUCUGAUGUCAAGUACAGCACUUGUCCAGAGGAGCUCUGAAUGCUCGGGUGGGAAGCUGCUGGUGCCAGCGGACAGAAGGGGCAGGUGACGGCGGGAGAUGGUGGGCGAGCAGGCUAUCAACUACUGGGUCUGGGGGAGGCGGCACCAAAGAGAGCAGGUGGGAAGAGGGGCGACCUGAGAGGGCAGCGGCCACCACUUCACAGCUCCCUCGGGGCACAGCAGAAGGCAUCGGAGCAACCUCCAGCCCAACCCCAGAGUCCAGGGAGGCAGGCCCUGCCGGUGCGUGAGAUGUGCACAAACAAGUGAGAAGACCCUGCUGUCCACAUGAGCAAGUCACAUCAGGGACAGCGCAGAAGGUCCCCGAGGCCAAGCUGGGAUGGAGUCCAUCAGGUGACACUGACCUCACUGCACUGGGCAGGUGCCGGAGGUCAGCGACCCUGAGGACACAGCUGCGGGCUGCACUUCUUUUCUGAAGCCCUUAAACACCCCUGCUCCAUCUUUGGUGUGGAGGAGACAAAUAGG